rnacentral:rRNA from 1 species
GACGAACGCUGGCGGCGUGCCUAAUACAUGCAAGUCGAACGAAGCUGUUUUAACUGGUGCUUGCACCGACUUAAACAACUGAGUGGCGAACGGGUGAGUAACACGUGGGUAACCUGCCCCAAAGCGGGGGAUAACAUUUGGAAACAGAUGCUAAUACCGCAUAACCACAGAAACCACAUGGUUUCUGUGUCAAAGAUGGUUUCGGCUAUCACUUUGGGAUGGACCCGCGGCGUAUUAGCUAGUUGGUAAGGUAAUGGCUUACCAAGGCAAUGAUACGUAGCCGAACUGAGAGGUUGAUCGGCCACAUUGGGACUGAGACAUGGCCCAAACUCCUACGGGAGGCAGCAGUAGGGAAUCUUCCACAAUGGACGAAAGUCUGAUGGAGCAACGCUGCGUGAGUGAAGAAGGUUUUCGGAUCGUAAAACUCUGUUGUCAGAGAAGAACGUGUGCGAGAGUAACUGCUCGUGCAGUGACGGUAUCUGGCCAGAAAGCCACGGCUAACUACGUGCCAGCAGCCGCCGUAA